rnacentral:rRNA from 1 species
CACGUAGGGCGCGAGCGUUGUCCGGAAUUAUUGGGCGUAAAGAGCUCGUAGGCGGCCUGUUGCGUCCGCUGUGAAAGCCCGGGGCUUAACCCCGGGUCUGCAGUGGAUACGGGCAGGCUAGAGGUAGGUAGGGGAGAACGGAAUUCCUGGUGUAGCGGUGAAAUGCGCAGAUAUCAGGAGGAACACCGGUGGCGAAGGCGGUUCUCUGGGCCUUACCUGACGCUGAGGAGCGAAAGCGUGGGGAGCGAACAGG